UACGUAGGGGGCAAGCGUUGUCCGGAAUCAUUGGGCGUAAAGAGCGCGUAGGCGGUCCGGUAAGUCGGUUGUGAAAACUGGGGGCUUAACCCUCAGAGGCCGACCGAUACUGCCGGGCUAGAGUCCGGAAGAGGCGAGUGGAAUUCCUGGUGUAGCGGUGAAAUGCGCAGAUAUCAGGAGGAACACCAAUGGCGAAGGCAGCUCGCUGGGACGGUACUGACGCUGAGGCGCGAAAGCGUGGGGAGCAAACAGG
rnacentral:rRNA from 1 species